AGCUCUAUCAAGCUACACUAAGCUAAACUUAGGAAAACAAUAAAGAAAUGCAAAUAAAUAAAGAUAAAUAAAAGACUUCAUUUUCAUUCAUUGAUCCCCAAUUGAUAAGAACACUANNNUAAUAUAAAUACUAUGUCUCAUUAAUAUCUAAAUUAUUUAACUAACUACUACUUAUAAUUAUUUAACUAAUUACUCCCUAAUCUUCUAUCAUUGCCGCCGGGUUCACUUGAACCUUGUCCUCAAGGUUCAGCUGCUAGUCUGGAGGAAUUAAAUUGGAGUGUGACUCGGGACAUAUAAUUUUUGUCAAAAAAGUUUUGUCCAUAAAAACAUUGGGCUAAUGCUUUGCGGCCCAUAGUUGAUUUGGUGGAAACCAAUUGUUGCGUGUCACUUGAAUUUUGCCUUGCAAUUUUGUGAAUAAAGCUAGAAACCAAUUGUUGCAUGUGCCAACACGUGGAGUGCUUGUAGGAGUGUCACCAUCAUUAUGGGGUGGAUUUGAAAUCACCAGCUGGUGAGUGGAAUUACCACUACGCAGUAGAAACAAAAACACAUUACGUGUUGUUGUUGUAGUGUAUGGUAGG
rnacentral:lncRNA from 1 species